rnacentral:rRNA from 1 species
UUGGAGUGAUCAGAAGUGAGAAUGUUGACAUGAGUAGCGACAAACAGGGUGAGAGACCCUGUCGCCGAAAGUCCAAGGGUUCCUGCUUAAAGCUAAUCUGAGCAGGGUAAGCCGGCCCCUAAGGCGAGGCCGAAAGGCGUAGUCGAUGGGAACCAGGUUAAUAUUCCUGGGCCAGGAGAUGGUGACGGAUCCCAGAGGUAGUUCAUCCUUAUCGGAUUGAAUGGGCUGCUGAGGGGUUCCUGGAAAUAGCCCUCCAUGAGACCGUACCCUAAACCGACACAGGUGGACUGGUAGAGAAUACCAAGGCGCUUGAGAGAACCACAUUUAAGGAACUCGGCAAAAUACCUCCGUAAGUUCGCGAGAAGGAGGCCCCGUUUGUACGCAAGUAUGGGCGGGGGGCACAAACCAGGGGGUGGCGACUGUUUACUAAAAACACAGGGCUCUGCGAAGCCGUAAGGCGACGUAUAGGGUCUGACGCCUGCCCGGUGCCGGAAGGUUAAAAGGAGAUGUGCAAGCAUUGAAUUGAAGCCCCGGUAAACGGCGGCCGUAACAAUAACGGUCCUAAGGUAGCGAAAUUCCUUGUCGGGUAAGUUCCGACCUGCACGAAUGGCGUAACGACUUCCCCGCUGUCUCAAAUGUGGACUCAGCGAAAUUGAAUUGUCUGUGAAGAUGCAGACUUCCCGCGGUUAGACGGAAAGACCCCAUGCACCUUUACUAUAGCUUCGCACUGGCAUCAGGAUUGUGAUGUGCUGGAUAGGUGGUAGGCAUUGAAACCGGGACGCCAGUUCCGGUGGAGCCAUCCUUGAGAUACCACCCUUCGCACUCUUGAUGUCUAACCGCGGCCCGUUAUCCGGGUCCGGGACCCUGCGUGGUGGGUAGUUUGACUGGGGCGGUCGCCUCCCAAAGAGUAACGGAGGCGCGCGAAGGUUGGCUCAGAGCGGUCGGAAAUCGCUCGUUGAGUGCAAUGGCAGAAGCCAGCCUGACUGCGAGACUGACAAGUCGAGCAGAGACGAAAGUCGGCCAUAGUGAUCCGGUGGUCCCGAGUGGAAGGGCCAUCGCUCAACGGAUAAAAGGUACGCUGGGGAUAACAGGCUGAUGAUGCCCAAGAGUCCAUAUCGACGGCAUCGUUUGGCACCUCGAUGUCGGCUCAUCUCAUCCUGGGGCUGGAGCAGGUCCCAAGGGUACGGCUGUUCGCCGUUUAAAGAGGUACGUGAGCUGGGUUUUAGAACGUCGUGAGACAGUUCGGUCCCUAUCUGCCGUGGGUGUAGGAUACUUGAGAGGAGUUGCCCCUAGUACGAGAGGACCGGGGUGAACGUUCCACUGGUGGACCAGUUGUCGUGCCAACGGCAGUGCUGGGUAGCUAUGAACGGACAGGAUAAACGCUGAAGGCAUCUAAGCGUGAAGCCCCCCUCAAAACAAGGUAUCCCUUGAGAGCCGUGGAAGACCACCACGUCGAUAGGCCGGAGAUGUAAGCGCAGCAAUGCGUUCAGUUGACCGGUACUAAUGGCUCU